GACAGAGGGGGCAAGCGUUGCUCGGAAUUACUGGGCGUAAAGGGCGCGUAGGCGGGAUGGCAAGUCGGUCGUGAAAUCCCUCGGCUCAACCGAGGAACGUCGAUCGAUACUGCUGUUCUUGAGGAUUGCAGAGGAGACUGGAAUUCACGGUGUAGCAGUGAAAUGCGUAGAGAUCGUGAGGAAGACCAGUGGCGAAGGCGGGUCUCUGGACAGUUCCUGACACUGAGGCACGAAGGCCAGGGGAGCAAACGGG
rnacentral:rRNA from 1 species